GCCCCUCGCUCUCUCUCUUGCCCACGCACUCGUCACCUCCUCCAGAUCCAUCGCCGAGCGCGGUCGUUGCCGCUCGCCUCACUCUGCCAUGGCCAGCAGGCACAUCUCGCCUCGUCGUUGCAUCCACAAAGACCGCCGUCGUCCGCUGCGUCUACUAUGGAGACGAAACGAGCCGGAACCCCUUCCAUCGUCGAGCCGGCCCUCUGCUUCCACCUCUGGCCACCGAAGGCCGCCGCCGUCGUUCUGCUGCACCGAGCCUCCCCCGAGCCCGCUCAUGCACAUCUGCAGGUCCGCGAUGACGGAGUCCAGGAGCCAGAUGACACCUUUGACGACUACUACUACCCCGAGGGUGCCUACUACCACGUGACGGACGCCAACGACCAGGAGUAGUUAGGAGGCUCCCAGCCAGGAGGCCUUCCCUUUUCGAUCAUAGAUGCUUUUGUGCUAGCCUUCUUAAGGCAAACUUGUCUAACUUAUGUCUGUACUCAGAUGUUGUUGCUUUCGCUGACUCUUGUGUUUUUGAGCUUAUGUAUUUGAGCCCUCGAGGCCCCUGGCUUGUAAUAUAAAGCUUGUAUUAUUUUAA